AACGCACCUUGCACCCUUUGGCAUUCCGAAGGGUAUGCUCGUUUGAGUGUCAUUGUACUCUCACACUCCCACUCUUUUGGAUUGGGAGCGGUGGACUUGGGUGUUGCUGCUUUACGGUGGCUCACCUCAAAUGGAGUAGUGCAACUCUCGGUUGGACAUAGUACGGCGUGAUAAGUAUCUUCGCCGGCGCCUCACUCGAGGGUGGCCGAUCGGGAGCUCUGUGCUUCAAACCGUCUUCGGACAAUCUCUGACAACUUGACCUCAAAUCGAGUAGGACUACCCGCUGAACUUAA
rnacentral:misc_RNA from 1 species